rnacentral:rRNA from 1 species
UACGUAGGGGGCUAGCGUUGUCCGGAUUUAUUGGGCGUAAAGAGCGUGUAGGCGGCCAGGUAGGUCUGGUGUGAAAACUCGAGGCUUAACCUCGAGAUGUCAUCGGAAACCAUCUGGCUAGAGUCCGGAAGAGGAGAGUGGAAUUCCCGGUGUAGUGGUGAAAUGCGUAGAUAUCGGGAGGAACACCAGUGGCGUAGGCGACUACCUGGCCUGUUCUUGACGCUGAGGCGCGAAAGCUAGGGGAGCAAACGGG